GUUCCUUUUGUUCCUUCUUGUACAAGGCGGGUUCUUAGGGUCUUAAGUUCUUCUUUCCUUGGUGUUAUAAGGUCUUCCUUAAUCCUGGUAACCACCCUUGACCUUCAUUAAUCCUUGUACUCUCUAGCCUCUACUCUUGUACCUAAAGGUCCAGCGAAAAAAUCUACUCCGAUGAGGGUGUUAUAGACUUCAACUUUGAACACCAA